AUUGCAUAUAUUAUAAGGAAGAUAUAUUAGAUUUAGAAUCUAAAGAUAAAUAUUGCAAUA
rnacentral:tRNA from 1 species